rnacentral:rRNA from 1 species
GACGAACGCUGGCGGCGUGCUUAACACAUGCAAGUCGAACGGAAAGGCCCUGCUUUUGUGGGGUGCACGAGUGGCGAACGGGUGAGUAACACGCGAGUAACCUGCCCUUGACUUUGGGAUAACUUCAGGAAACUGGGGCUAAUACCGGAUAGAAGCUCCUGCAGCAUGGGGGGGGUUGGAAAGAUUCGGCGGUGGGGGAAGUACUCGCGGCAUAUCAGCUUGCUUGUGGGGUAGGGGCUUACCAAGCCUAUGACGGGUAGCCGGCCUGAGGGGGUGAGCGGCGGCACUGAGACUGACGUGCGGCACAGGGUGCUAAGGUGGCGAGCUGUGCGGAAUCUUGCCGAAUGGGCGCAGCCCGGGUGCAGCAACUCCGCGGGCGGGAUGACGCCCUUAGGGUUGUAAAACGCAUUCGCAUGUGACGAUGCGUGAGUGACGGUAAUGUGUAAAGAAGCACCGGCUAACUACGUG